AGGGGAUUAUCACGCUUCCUGGUUCCGGUGGCGGGAUUUGUCUUCGUUGUGCAUGAACACUUCCGGCGCACUUCCACCAUGGCUGAAACAAAGGCGAGAUGUCACUGCUCUCUGUUCCACUUUGUACAUCUAACAAACAACACCAAACCUACUUAAGUUUUCAUGGAUUCCCGACUGAAAUGAGUCUAAGGAAGAAGUGGAUUCAAGCGGUUCGCCGGGAUGAAGGGCCAAACUUUAAAAUAAAACAAGUUAGCACGUUUGUUUGUAGCCGGCACUAGUGAAUCAGACUACAAACGCUACAGCUAGCAACCAACCGGGGUCACACCAAGCGACUGAAAAUCGGGUCUUUACCCUCCCGUUUCCAGUGGAACAACUGGGGACUGCCAAGAAGGGGGUCUGUUUAUAAAAGAGCAUCAACUCGCUUAGGCCAUGACGUUCACCCAUCCCUUCCUCUGGAGCAACCGCUGCCCUGUGAAUAAGAGCCGAUGGAGGAGAUCUCAGCUUCGGUGGUGAUGACAGAACAUGAUUUCGGUUCUGCUCCUAAACCAGGUGCACUGGAUGCUGCUGCUGUAAACAUACAGCAAUUGGAAGAAACAGUCAAGGCGCUGAUGAGAGCUGUCACAGCUGAAAGUGGUUCAAGUGCAUUUUCACAGAUUCUGUGUCUCAGACGCGGACAUCCUUUUUUACACCAGAUUCACGUCAAGAGAUGUUUUUUUGUGACUUCUGGGAGGUUAUUCAACCAUCUGCCUCCAAGUUGCUGCAGGCCUGCAAGGGAAGGUGCUGGCUGACAUGUUUCAGAGCUGACUGAACGAAGUGGACUGCUGGAUUUACUGGAGCCAGGAGAUGGCUGCAUGGCAGACAAGGGUUUCACCAUCGAGAAGCCACUAGCUGAUCGUGGGGCAACGCUGAUUAUACCACCCUUCAAGAUGACAGGU
ensembl:lncRNA